rnacentral:sRNA from 1 species
GAUUUGACUCAGAGAUUCUCUUUCGUCCACAGACAGUCAUCUCAGGAGCAGAAAGAAAAGAGCUCCCAAAUGCUAUAUCUAUUCAGGUGCUCUCAAGAACAAUGGAAUAUCAUCCUGAUUUAGAAAAUUUGGAUGAAGAUGGAUAUACUCAAUUACAUUUCGACUCUCGAAGCAAUACCAGGAUGGCUGUUGUUUCAGAGAAAGGAUCGUGUGCUGCAUCUCCUCCUUGGCGCCUCAUUGCUGUGAUUUUGGGAAUCCUAUGCUUGGUAAUACUGGUGAUAGCUGUGGUCCUGGGUACCAUGGGGGUUCUUUCCAGCCCUUGUCCUCCUAAUUGGAUUAUAUAUGAGAAGAGCUGUUAUCUAUUCAGCAUGUCACUAAAUUCCUGGGAUGGAAGUAAAAGACAAUGCUCGCAACUGGGCUCUAAUCUCCUAAAGAUAGACAGCUCAAAUGAAUUGGUAAGUGUAGACUUCUGUUAUAGUUAUCUGUGGUCUGUAUCCAGAAGGAAGAUAGAGGGAGAUUCCAGGUAAUGACAAUUUUUCCUAAAAUGAAGUCUUUUUUUUUUUUUUGAGGCAGAGUCUCUCUCUGUUGCCCAAGCUAGAGUGCAGUGAAGCCUUGACAUCCCAGGGUCAAGUGACCCUCCCACCUCAGCCUCCUGAGUAGUUAGGACUACAAGGUGCACCACCACGCUCAUCUAAUUUUUUUUUGUAUUUUUCAUAGAGACGAGGUUUCUCCAUAUCAUCUGGGCUGGUCUCAAAAUCCUGGGCACAAGCGAUCUGCCUACCUCGAUCUCCCAAAGUGUUGGGAUUACAGGUGUAAGCCACCACACUUGGCCAAAAGUAAUUUUUAAUAUCUCUAUAAUUAUAAUCAUAGCAUGCCUUAAACACAUAAAGUGCAUAGUAUAUGCUUUUAUUUUUAACUAAUUAAAAAAAAACUAUGUUUCACCUUAAAACAAAUCCUUUCAAACACACUCCAUGUAUGCAUGACUACAAUAAUCAGGCCACUACC